UCCUUUAAGGGAUGCUAUGAAGCAUAGUCUUUAUUUGGACACUUGGACUAUGUGGAGCAAGUAGUGUAACCGACCCUCUUAUUU
rnacentral:ncRNA from 2 species